rnacentral:rRNA from 1 species
GACGAACGCUGGCGGCGUGCUUAACACAUGCAAGUCGAGCGGUAAGGCCCUUUCGGGGGUACGACGAGCGGCGAACGGGUGAGUAACACGUGGGUGACCUGCCCUUAGCUCUGGGAUAAGCCUGGGAAACUGGGUCUAAUACCGGAUAUGACUCCAUGACGCAUGUUGUGGGGUGGAAAGCCUUGUGCGGCUAGGGAUGGGCCCGCGGCCUAUCAGCUUGUUGGUGGGGUGAUGGCCUACCAAGGCGACGACGGGUAGCCGGCCUGAGAGGGCGACCGGCCACACUGGGACUGAGACACGGCCCAGACU